AUGGUGGAGAGUUUGAUCCUGGCUCAGGAUCAACGCUGGCGGCGUGCCUAAUGCAUGCAAGUCGAGCGGGGUGAUCUUCGGAUCACUUACGCGGCGGACGGGUGCGGAACACGUGGGCAACCUGCCCCGAGGUGGGGGAUAGCCGGUGGAAACACCGGGUAAUUCCGCAUGAGGUCACUGAUCGGAGGAUUGGUGAGGAAAGGCUCGAAAGAGUCGCCUUGGGAGGGGCCUGCGGCCGAUUAGCUAGACGGUGGGGUAACGGCCUACCGUGGCGACGAUCGGUAGCUGGUCUGAGAGGACGGCCAGCCACACGGGGACUGAGACACGGCCCCGACUCCUACGGGAGGCAGCAGCAAGGAAUCUUCCGCAAUGGGCGACAGCCUGACGGAGCAACGCCGCGUGUGGGAUGACGCCUUUCGGGGUGUAAACCACUUUUCUCAGGGAAGAAGCACUGACGGUACCUGAGGAAGAAGGACCGGCUAACUACGUGCCAGCAGCCGCGGUAAUACGUAGGGUCCGAGCGUUGUCCGGAGUUACUGGGCGUAAAGCGCGCGCAGGCGGCGGUGUAAGCAUGGCGUGAAAGCCCCUGGCUUAACCAGGGAGGGUCGUCGUGGACUGCACCGCUUGAGGGCGAUAGGGGCUGGUGGAAUGCCUGGUGUAGUGGUGAAAUGCGUAGAGAUCAGGCGGAACACCCGUGGCGAAGGCGGCCAGCUGGGUCGUCCCUGACGCUGAGGCGCGAAGGCGUGGGGAGCGAACGGGAUUAGAUACCCCGGUAGUCCACGCAGUAAACGAUGCAGACUAGGCGUGGGGGGAGUUGACCCCCUCCGUGCCGGAGCUAACGCGGGAAGUCUGCCGCCUGGGGAGUACGGCCGCAAGGCUAAAACUCAAAGGAAUUGACGGGGGCCCGCACAAGCGGCGGAGCGUGCGGUUUAAUUCGACGCAACGCGUAAAACCUUACCGAGGCUUGACAUGUGGCUGCAGACGUGGGAAACCACGGGGCCUUCGAGGGUGCCACACAGGUGCUGCAUGGCUGUCGUCAGCUCGUGCCGUGAGGUGUUGGGUUAAGUCCCGCAACGAGCGCAACCCCCGCGUCUAGUUGAAUUGAUCUAGACGGACUGCCGGCCGCAAACCGGAGGAAGGUGGGGAUGACGUCAAGUCAGCAUGGCCUUUAUAUCCAGGGCUACACACACGCUACAAUGGCGCGUACAAUGGGUCGCGAAGCCGCGAGGCGGAGCGAAUCCCCCAAACCCGGUCUCAGUUCGGAUCGCGGGCUGCAACUCGCCCGCGUGAAGUCGGAGUCGCUAGUAACCGCAGGUCAGCAUUACUGCGGUGAAUAUGUUCCCGGGCCUUGUACACACCGCCCGUCACGUCAUGAAAGCUGGCAACACCCGAAGCCGGUGGGCCAACCGCAAGGAGG
rnacentral:rRNA from 1 species